UACCAGCACCCCGAGUGAUCGGGACGUUUAUUGGGCCUAAAGCAUCCGUAGCCGGUUCUACAAGUCUUCCGUUAAAUCCAACUGCUUAACAGGUGGGCUGCGGAAGAUACUAUAGAGCUAGGAGGCGGGAGAGGCAAGCGGUACUCGAUGGGUAGGGGUAAAAUCCGUUGAUCCAUUGAAGACCACCAGUGGCGAAGGCGGCUUGCCAGAACGCGCUCGACGGUGAGGGAUGAAAGCUGGGGGAGCAAACCGGG
rnacentral:rRNA from 1 species